UUGGAGGGCAAGUCUGGUGCCAGCAGCCGCGGUAAUUCCAGCUCCAAUAGCGUAUAUUAAAGUUGUUGCAGUUAAAAAGCUCGUAGUUGAAUUUCGGGGUUCUACCGUUGGUCGGGCUAUUGUCUGUACUGGCGUGUAGAAUUUCUACCUUCUGGGGAACUAUCAUGUUAUUAAUUUAGCGUGGUAGGAAACCAGGACCUUUACCUUGAAAAAAUUAGAGUGUUCAAAGCAGGCUUAUGUCUGAAUACAUUAGCAUGGAAUAAUAAAAUAGGACGGUGGUCCUGUUUUGUUGGUUUCUGAAUCACCGUAAUGAUUAAUAGGGAUAGUUGGGGGCAUUAGUAUUCAAUUGUCAGAGGUGAAAUUCUUGGAUUUAUUGAAGACUAACUACUGCGAAAGCAUUUGCCAAGGAUGUUUUCAUUAAUCAAGAACGAAAGUUAGGGGAUCGAAGACGAUCAGAUACCGUCGUAGUCUUAACCAUAAACUAUGCCGACUAGGAAUCGGACGAUGUUAACUUUUCUUGACUCGUUCGGCGCCUUACGGGAAA
rnacentral:rRNA from 1 species